rnacentral:rRNA from 1 species
AUUUCUUCGGAAUGAAGUUUUAGUGACUGAGUGGCGGACGGGUGAGUAACGCGUGGGUAACCUGCCUCACACUGGGGGAUAACAGUUAGAAAUAGCUGCUAAUACCGCAUAAGCGCACAGUUCCGCAUGGAACAGUGUGAAAAACUCCGGUGGUGUGAGAUGGACCCGCGUCUGAUUAGCCAGUUGGCGGGGUAACGGCCCACCAAGGCGACGAUGGGUAGCCGAUUUAAGAGGAUGAUCGGCCACAUUGGGACUGAGAUACGGCCCAGACUCC